rnacentral:snoRNA from 1 species
UCGGCUAUGAUUAUUUGCAUUUUACCAAUUGUUCCAACUGAAUAACCGUUUGUCGACAACUGCAUUUAUCGUUAAGUUUCAGCCUUGUAUGAGCCUU